rnacentral:rRNA from 1 species
CAGCAGCCACGGUAACACGGAGGGUGCAAGCGUUAAUCGGAAUUACUGGGCGUAAAGCGCACGCAGGCGGUUUGUUAAGUCAGAUGUGAAAUCCCCGAGCUUAACUUGGGAACUGCAUUUGAAACUGGCAAGCUAGAGUCUUGUAGAGGGGGGUAGAAUUCCAGGUGUAGCGGUGAAAUGCGUAGAGAUCUGGAGGAAUACCGGUGGCGAAGGCGGCCCCCUGGACAAAGACUGACGCUCAGGUGCGAAAGCGUGGGGAGCAAACAGGAUUAGAUACCCCUGUAGUCCCUGUCUCUUAUAC